rnacentral:rRNA from 1 species
UGGGGAAUAUUGGACAAUGGGCGAAAGCCUGAUCCAGCCAUGCCGCGUGUGUGAAGAAGGUCUUCGGAUUGUAAAGCACUUUAAGUUGGGAGGAAGGGCAUUAACCUAAUACGUUAGUGUUUUGACGUUACCGACAGAAUAAGCACCGGCUAACUCUGUGCCAGCAGCCGCGGUAAUACAGAGGGUGCAAGCAUUAAUCGGAAUUACUGGGCGUAAAGCGCGCGUAGGUGGUUUGUUAAGUUGGAUGUGAAAUCCCCGGGCUCAACCUGGGAACUGCAUUGAAAACUGACUGACUAGAGUAUGGUAGAGGGUGGUGGAAUUUCCUGUGUAGCGGUGAAAUGCGUAGAUAUAGGAAGGAACACCAGUGGCGAAGGCGACCACCUGGACUAAUACUGACACUGAGGUGCGAAAGCGUGGGGAGCAAACA